rnacentral:rRNA from 1 species
GAUGAACGCUGGCGGCGUGCCUAAUACAUGCAAGUCGAGCGAACGGACGAGAAGCUUGCUUCUCUGAUGUUAGCGGCGGACGGGUGAGUAACACGUGGAUAACCUACCUAUAAGACUGGGAUAACUUCGGGAAACCGGAGCUAAUACCGGAUAAUAUUUUGAACCGCAUGGUUCAAAAGUGAAAGACGGUCUUGCUGUCACUUAUAGAUGGAUCCGCGCUGCAUUAGCUAGUUGGUAAGGUAACGGCUUACCAAGGCAACGAUGCAUAGCCGACCUGAGAGGGUGAUCGGCCACACUGGAACUGAGACACGGUCCAGACUCCUACGGGAGGCAGCAGUAGGGAAUCUUCCGCAAUGGGCGAAAGCCUGACGGAGCAACGCCGCGUGAGUGAUGAAGGUCUUCGGAUCGUAAAACUCUGUUAUUAGGGAAGAACAUAUGUGUAAGUAACUGUGCACAUCUUGACGGUACCUAAUCAGAAAGCCACGGCUAACUACGUGCCAGCAGCCGCGGUAAUACGUAGGUGGCAAGCGUUAUCCGGAAUUAUUGGGCGUAAAGCGCGCGUAGGCGGUUUUUUAAGUCUGAUGUGAAAGCCCACGGCUCAACCGUGGAGGGUCAUUGGAAACUGGAAAACUUGAGUGCAGAAGAGGAAAGUGGAAUUCCAUGUGUAGCGGUGAAAUGCGCAGAGAUAUGGAGGAACACCAGUGGCGAAGGCGACUUUCUGGUCUGUAACUGACGCUGAUGUGCGAAAGCGUGGGGAUCAAACAGGAUUAGAUACCCUGGUAGUCCACGCCGUAAACGAUGAGUGCUAAGUGUUAGGGGGUUUCCGCCCCUUAGUGCUGCAGCUAACGCAUUAAGCACUCCGCCUGGGGAGUACGACCGCAAGGUUGAAACUCAAAGGAAUUGACGGGGACCCGCACAAGCGGUGGAGCAUGUGGUUUAAUUCGAAGCAACGCGAAGAACCUUACCAAAUCUUGACAUCCUUUGACAACUCUAGAGAUAGAGCUUUCCCCUUCGGGGGACAAAGUGACAGGUGGUGCAUGGUUGUCGUCAGCUCGUGUCGUGAGAUGUUGGGUUAAGUCCCGCAACGAGCGCAACCCUUAAGCUUAGUUGCCAUCAUUAAGUUGGGCACUCUAAGUUGACUGCCGGUGACAAACCGGAGGAAGGUGGGGAUGACGUCAAAUCAUCAUGCCCCUUAUGAUUUGGGCUACACACGUGCUACAAUGGACAAUACAAAGGGCAGCGAAACCGCGAGGUCAAGCAAAUCCCAUAAAGUUGUUCUCAGUUCGGAUUGUAGUCUGCAACUCGACUACAUGAAGCUGGAGUCGCUAGUAAUCGUAGAUCAGCAUGCUACGGUGAAUACGUUCCCGGGUCU